rnacentral:lncRNA from 1 species
UUCUGAGGACUAAGUGAGGUAAUAUUUACGUAGUCCUUCUUCGCACACAACAUAAGCUCAGGACAGCUGCUACUUCGUUUUGUGCCCGGUAAUAUUCCGCGUUUGGGGAAGAGUGCUAAGAACUAACCCAAUGGUCCGGAGAGCCGGGAGAGAAUUCAAGUGUAGGACCGCAUGGCGCCCGGCGUGCAGCAGGUGCAAAACGCAGCAGUGUCUUUAAUGUUCCGUGCACAGCGUCCUGGACCACAGUGUUGGGGACGGGCUGAACUGUCUCACGUGCCAGUUACAUAUGCGCUUCGUUCUGUUUAACGUGUGAACUUCAGGAUCUGCCAGUUACUUUGCAAUGUGACGCCUGAGACGUGAAAAGUCUCUUUCUGUGGCCUGCCUUCCUGCAGCGUGUCAUAUUCAACCGUGGGAAUAAGAACAGUCACACGGCGUCACCUCCCGAGGAGUCUCCUUCCGGAACGGGUUCUGCAGCAUCCAGUAGUGGGUCAGAAUGAUGAACUCUGCAAACUGUUACCAGGAGCCGUCUGGUUAGGGCCCUGGUGCAGAAGAGGCAGUGGCCGCAGUGUGCACGCCGUGAGUGGUGAUUAUUCUUCUGAAAUCACCUCAAGGGGCAGUGGUCUCAGAAUGUACAGAAAAAGAAACGUUUCCCAAUUUUGCUGAAGAGUCCACGUGGAGAAUGACAAAAACAAACACCUGAGUGCAUUAUAAUGACGCGUCAGGUACCUGAGAGGUAAGAGAGCACUUGAAAAGACCCACUUUUGUUUUAUUUAGAGAGGAAGAGGUCAUGAGCAGAGGAGGGCCAGAGAGAGGGGCACAGAGAACCCCAGGCAGGCUCUGCGCUGACAGGGGCUCAAUCUCCUGAACUGUUAGAUCAUGACCCGAACCAAAAUCAAGAAUCUGAUGCUAACGGACUGAGCCACCCAGGCACCCUUAGAAGAGCCCCUCUUCUGGCCCCCCUUUUCAAUUUUUUUUUUAAGAAACUUCUACGGGGCGCCUGGGUGGCUCAGUCGGUUAAGCGUCCGGCUUCAGCUCAGGUCAGAUCUCACGUUCGUGGGUUCGAGCCCCGCGUCGGGCUCUGUGCUGACAGCUAGCUCAGAGCCUGGAGCCUGCUUCCGGUUCUGUGUCUCCUUCUCUCUUGACCCUCCCCCUCUCAUGCUCUGUCUCUCUCUGUAU